CACGAGCUCUGAACCCUCCACCUGCUGUAGAAACAAAUACAUGAUCGACACAUAAAAUUCACAUUGCUCUCCCAAGACCCAAGACCCAGCAAAGCAAUGAUGUUUUUCCAAUACUGCAUUAUUUUUUCAUUUCCUUUUUUCAGAUAGAAACACAUGUAAACCAGUGAACAACCAAUGACAGCAAAUACCAACUGUAUUUCUUCUAAGAUACAGGUACUCUGAAUAGUAUUUAUCUUUUUACACCGUGAGUUACUGAGAGGAGGAACUGUGAUUUCAUACAAUUGUCUAAGGACCUAGUCUAAUGGAGAUCAGAUUAUCAUCUCAAUACUUUGUGAUCUCUGGCAUUCCUCAGUAUCAGGCUUCCUUGACGGUUACAUGGGGCUCUCCACACUUCAACUCUCCACAGUACAAACAGGAUCUUGCCAAUACACCCUAUGAAUUCUAAA